rnacentral:rRNA from 1 species
UACGAAGGGAGCUAGCGUUGUUCGGAAUCACUGGGCGUAAAGCGCACGUAGGCGGAUUUGUUAGUCAGGGGUGAAAUCCCGGGGCUCAACCUCGGAACUGCCUUUGAUACUGCAAAUCUCGAGUCCGGAAGAGGUGGGUGGAAUUCCUAGUGUAGAGGUGAAAUUCGUAGAUAUUAGGAAGAACACCGGUGGCGAAGGCGGCCCACUGGUCCGACACUGACGCUGAUGCGCGAAAGCCAGGGGAGCGAAUGGG